GACAGAGGAGGCAAGCGUUGUCCGGACUUACUGGGCGUAAAGAGCGCGCAGGCGGUCGUUCAAGUCGCGUGUGAAAGCCCCCGGCUCAACUGGGGAGGGUCACGCGAUACUGAUCGACUCGAAGGCAGGAGAGGGAAGUGGAAUUCCCGGUGUAGUGGUGAAAUGCGUAGAUAUCGGGAGGAACACCAGUGGCGAAGGCGACUUCCUGGCCUGUUCUUGACGCUGAGGCGCGAAAGCUAGGGGAGCAAACGGG
rnacentral:rRNA from 1 species